rnacentral:rRNA from 1 species
UACAGAGGUCCCGAGCGUUGUUCGGAUUCACUGGGCGUAAAGGGUGCGUAGGUGGUGAGGUAAGUCGGAUGUGAAAUCUCCAGGCUCAACCUGGAAACUGCAUUGGAAACUACCUUGCUGGAGGAUUUGAGGGGGGAUUGGAAUACUUGGUGUAGCAGUGAAAUGCGUAGAUAUCAAGUGGAACACCAGUGGCGAAGGCGGGACUCUGGGCCGAUACUGACGCUGAGGAGCGAAAGCGUGGGGAGCGAACAGG